rnacentral:misc_RNA from 1 species
GAUGAAGAACGCAGCGAAAUGCGAUAAGUAAUGUGAAUUGCAGAAUUCAGUGAAUCAUCGAAUCUUUGAACGCACAUUGCGCCCCCCAGUAUUCUGGCGGGCAUGCCUGUUCGAGCGUCAUUUCAACCAUCAAGCCCUGCUUGUGUUGGGGUCCUGCGGCUGCCCGCAGGCCCUGAAAACCAGUGGCGGGCUCGCUAGUCACACCGAGCGCAGUAGCACAUCUCGCUCAGGGCGUGCGGCGGGCUCCAGCCGUUAAAGCACCCACCUUUCGCAAGGUUGACCUCGGAUCAGGUAGGAAUACCCGCUGAACUUAAGCAUAUCAAUAAGCGGAGA